rnacentral:rRNA from 1 species
CAGCCCUUGACAUGGUCACGACCGGUCCAGAGAUGGGCUUUCCCCGCAAGGGGCGUGAUGCACAGGUGCUGCAUGGCUGUCGUCAGCUCGUGUCGUGAGAUGUUGGGUUAAGUCCCGCAACGAGCGCAACCCUCGCCUCUAGUUGCCAGCAUGUUCGGGUGGGCACUCUAGAGGAACUGCCGGUGACAAGCCGGAGGAAGGUGGGGAUGACGUCAAGUCCUCAUGGCCCUUAUGGGCUGGGCUACACACGUGCUACAAUGGCGGUGACAGAGGGAAGCCAGGUCGCGAGGCCGAGCCGAUCCCGAAAAGCCGUCUCAGUUCGGAUUGCACUCUGCAACUCGGGUGCAUGAAGGUGGAAUCGCUAGUAAUCGCGGAUCAGCACGCCGCGGUGAAUACGUUCCC